rnacentral:piRNA from 1 species
UCUGCAGAAAAUGAGUUGAUAGUACACGGU